rnacentral:rRNA from 1 species
GAUGAACGCUGGCGGCGUGCCUAAUACAUGCAAGUCGAGCGAACAGACGAGGAGCUUGCUCCUCUGAUGUUAGCGGCGGACGGGUGAGUAACACGUGGAUAACCUACCUAUAAGACUGGGAUAACUUCGGGAAACCGUAGCUAAUACCGGAUAAUAUUUUGAACCGCAUGGUUCAAAAGUGAAAGACGGUCUUGCUGUCACUUAUAGAUGGAUCCGCGCUGCAUUAGCUAGUUGGUAAGGUAACGGCUUACCAAGGCAACGAUGCAUAGCCGACCUGAGAGGGUGAUCGGCCACACUGGAACUGAGACACGGUCCAGACUCCUACGGGAGGCAGCAGUAGGGAAUCUUCCGCAAUGGGCGAAAGCCUGACGGAGCAACGCCGCGUGAGUGAUGAAGGUCUUCGGAUCGUAAAACUCUGUUAUUAGGGAAGAACAUAUGUGUAAGUAACUGUGCACAUCUUGACGGUACCUAAUCAGAAAGCCACGGCUAACUACGUG